rnacentral:ncRNA from 2 species
UAUAGCAAUACGGGUACAGGUGCCUUGCAAAGAGCUUAAUAGGGAAGUCCGGUUAAAAGCCGGUGCGGUCGCCACUGUAACACGGAGUCGACUCUAAUAAGCCACUGGGAUGAGGUAGACAUUCCGGGAAGGAUGGGUUGACGAUGAACUGGAGCCAGGAGAACUACCUGUACGGACAAUCUUCG